rnacentral:rRNA from 1 species
CAAUACCAUGAGUACAGCGGCGCACGGGUGAGUAACACGUGACUAACCUACCCUCGAGUGGGGAAUAACUUCGGGAAACCGAGGCUAAUACCGCAUAAUACCCACGGGUCAAAGGAGCAAUUCGCUUGAGGAGGGGGUCGCGGCCGAUUAGUUAGUUGGCGGGGUAAUGGCCCACCAAGACGAUGAUCGGUAUCCGGCCUGAGAGGGCGCACGGACACACUGGAACUGAAACACGGUCCAGACUCCUACGGGAGGCAGCAGUGGGGAAUUUUGCGCAAUGGGGGAAACCCUGACGCAGCAACGCCGCGUGGAGGAUGAAGUCCUUCGGGACGUAAACUCCUUUCGAUCGGGACGAUUAUGACGGUACCGAGAGAAGAAGCCCCGGCUAACUUCGUGCCAGCAGCCGCGGUAAUACGAGGGGGGCGAGCGUUGUUCGGAAUUAUUGGGCGUAAAGGGUGCGUAGGCGGUUUGGUAAGUCUUGUGUGAAAUCUAUGGGCUCAACUCAUAGUCUGCACGAGAAACUGCCGGGCUUGAGUGUGGGAGAGGUGAGUGGAAUUUCCGGUGUAGCGGUGAAAUGCGUAGAUAUCGGAAGGAACACCUGUGGCGAAAGCGGCUCACUGGACCACAACUGACGCUGAUGCACGAAAGCUAGGGGAGCAAACAGGAUUAGAUACCCUGGUAGUCCUAGCCCUAAACGAUGACUGCUUGGUGUGACGGGUACCCAAUCCCGCCGUGCCGUANCUAACGCGUUAAGCAGUCCGCCUGGGGAGUACGGUCGCAAGGCUGAAACUC